UAAGACAAUAAAUACUCUUUGCUCUGUGCUCAGUUGAGCCAUUUGCUUGACAUUCACUAAUAUGUAAUUGAACGAUUUUCGUGCAGUUAUACUUUUGUAUGAACCUAUUUUCAAUUCCCAGGAUAAAAAAUUUCGCUUUUCAAGGAUAUUUUAAUUCCGAAGAUCUUUAAUAUAUGCAUCCUGUGAAAAUGUUUACGCAUUCAUGGCUUCAACAAGGUUCAGGCAUUCAAAUUAGAACAAUGGUGAAUUUCUAAGGGUAGCGGGUUUUUU